rnacentral:piRNA from 1 species
UCUUUUAGGUCCACAAUAAU